rnacentral:lncRNA from 1 species
AAAAAUGCAAAUUCAAAAACUAAAUAAAAAUUACAUUAAAUAACUUAAAAUUUACAAAAUAGUCCCCCAACACUCCAGGAAUUGCCGGGAAGGACUUCUGGGGGCUGCAUGAACAGUGCCGGCGCGUGGAUCCACGCACCUCCGUCACUGGCGGCGCGUGGGUUCAAGCGCCGCUGCUGGAAACCAGAAAAAACAGAGGCGCCUGGAGCGGCUUCUUCUCCUCUUCAAUUUUCAGCCGGCGGUGAGGGUCCGGUCACCUGCAAACACACCAAAAACGCAAACAAAGCAGUUGAUUUUAGUUUUUUUUGUUUCAAAUCUGUUUUUAAAUUUU